rnacentral:rRNA from 1 species
GAUGAACGCUGGCGGCGUGCCUAAUACAUGCAAGUCGAGCGAACAGACGAGGAGCUUGCUCCUCUGACGUUAGCGGCGGACGGGUGAGUAACACGUGGAUAACCUACCUAUAAGACUGGGAUAACUUCGGGAAACCGGAGCUAAUACCGGAUAAUAUAUUGAACCGCAUGGUUCAAUAGUGAAAGACGGUUUUGCUGUCACUUAUAGAUGGAUCAGCGCCGCAUUAGCUAGUUGGUAAGGUAACGGCUUACCAAGGCGACGAUGCGUAGCCGACCUGAGAGGGUGAUCGGCCACACUGGAACUGAGACACGGUCCAGACUCCUACGGGAGGCAGCAGUAGGGAAUCUUCCGCAAUGGGCGAAAGCCUGACGGAGCAACGCCGCGUGAGUGAUGAAGGUCUUCGGAUCGUAAAACUCUGUUAUUAGGGAAGAACAAAUGUGUAAGUAACUAUGCACGUCUUGACGGUACCUAAUCAGAAAGCCACGGCUAACUACGUG